rnacentral:lncRNA from 1 species
AUUAGUUGCUUUUUGUUUGCUUUAGGGAAAUUGGCACACAUAUACAUAACCAACAACAAAAUUAAUUCUCUACACAUAACAACUCUUAAGCUAUGAUAUUUGUGUAAUAAUUACCAUAUUACCCUUUACCACAUUUACUUGAACAUUUUUUUUGUUGAUUUUUCUUCUUCUUACAAAUAUGUUUCUCCCUUCUCUUUUUAAUUGAUUUCAACUUCUGAUAUAACACUUAUUAACCUUUGUAUUUUACAUAUUAAAAACAUAGAUUUUUUUCUUCACAUAAAAUGUUUUGAAACUUUCAAAACAGAUUUAUAUUUUAUAAAUUUUAUAAGAUAUUUCAUUAACGCGAUUUUAAUUAUAUACUAUCAUAAACAUACAGUAUAGAUUCAUCUAUCUAUCUCUCUAUAUAUCUCUCUCUCUCUCUCCCCGUCUCCCUCUCUCUCUCCCUCUGACUCUUUCUCUCUCUCUCCCUCUCCCCUCUCCCUCUCUCUCCUUUCCUCUCUCCCUCCCUCCCUCCCUC